rnacentral:rRNA from 1 species
GCCUAGCCCUAAACAAAAGUAACAGUCUUACACCUGUAACUCGCCAGGGAACUACGAGCAUAAGCUUAAAACCCAAAGGACUUGGCGGUGCUUUAGAUCCACCUAGAGGAGCCUGUUCUAGAACCGAUAACCCCCGUUCAACCUCACCCUCCCUUGUCUCUCCCGCCUAUAUACCACCGUCGUCAGCUUACCCUAUGAAGGCCCCAUAGUAAGCAAAAUUGGUAUAACCCAAAACGUCAGGUCGAGGUGUAGCGUACGAGAGGGGAAGAAAUGGGCUACAUUCACUGAUACAGUACACACGGACGAUAAAUUGAAAUAAACAUCUGAAGGAGGAUUUAGCAGUAAGAAGGAAAACAGAGUGUUCCCCUGAAACCGGCCCUGAAGCGCGC